rnacentral:sRNA from 1 species
GUACCCGAUCGUAAGUGUGCACCGUAUG